rnacentral:lncRNA from 1 species
AAUGAUUAUUUUUGCUGUACUUUACACAAAUAAUCAGGCUAAGUGUAAGACUAUGGCGUAUUUUUGCAAACAAAUCAGCCCUGUUAGGAUUUGUCUUUAGUAAAAAUGGGAGAAUGGAGAGAUAGAAAAAACAUAUUUUAAAAACAAUGGUACACUUGUUAUAAAAUUGUGAUCUCAUCAGUUAUUUUUGAGUUUUCUUUCUACGAUUUAGACUGAACCUGCUUAUUUCUGUGAACCAACCAGUGAUCUCUUAUGGCUGUUCAAAAGUAACAAGAGAGAUAUCACCUUUUGUCAUAACUCAAGUCUUAUGAAUGGCCCUCACCAUAACGAUGCUUUUUGACUGAGCUCUUCUCUAACCUGAAUGCAAGAGAUAUCACCUUUUGUCAUAACUCAAGAGUUAUGAAUGGCCUUCACCAUAAUGAUGCUUUUUGACUGAGCUCUUCUCUAACCUGAAUGCAAGAGGUUAGGCAUGAAUAUCAUCCCCCCUGUUCAGCCUGAAGAAGUUACAGAAGAUGAAUCUUCCUCUCUCUACAGCCCUUAGGAUUAAGGGUUCUCUUAUAAAAGGGAGGGGGUAAAUAUGUCAGAGGCAUUUGAACCAGAGAAACUCCAUCUUGAAUAGUCCCUGUGUAAAAUAAGACUGAGACCUACUGGGAUGCAUUCCCAGGAGGUUAGGCAUUCUAAUUCACAGGAUGAGAUAAGAAGUCUCCACAAGAUACAGAUUAUAAAGAUUUGGCUGAUAAAACUGUUUGUGAUAAAGAAGCUGGCCAAAACACACCAAAACCAAGAUGCCAACAAAAGUGUCCUCUGGUUGUCCUCACUGCUCAUUAUAUGCUAAUUAUAAUGCAUUAGCAUGUUAAAAGACACUCCCACCAGUGCAAUGACAAUGUACAAAUGCCUUGGCAACAUCAAGAAGUUACCCUAUGUGGUUUAAAAAUGGUAGGAACCCUCAGUUCUGGGAAUUGCCCACCCCUUUUCUGGAAAACUCAUGAAUAAUCCACCCCUUAUUUAGCAUAUAAUCAAGAAAUAACUGGAAGUAUCCUUAGUGAAGCAGCCCAAGCCACUACUCUUCCUAUGGAGUAGACAUUCUUUCAUUAGUUAACUUUAUUAAUAAACUUGCUUUCACUUUGUAGAUUCACCUCAAAUUAUUUCUUGCAUGAGAUCCAAGAACCCUUUCUUGGGGUCUGGAUCUGGACUCCUUUACAGUAACAAUGAGAUUUAAAAAUAUUAUUU